rnacentral:misc_RNA from 1 species
UCAACCAUCAAGCCUGGGCUUGUCGUUGAACCCGCCCGUGACUGGGAGGGUUCCAAAGUCAGUGGCGAGGCGAGUCGGACCCUCGAUGCAACGAGCGGUUUCUCAACCAGCACGCACCGUAGUGGACCGACCACCUCUGACCUCUCUUUUUAAAUUUUUCA